GACGAACGCUGGCGGCAUGCCUAACACAUGCAAGUCGAACGCCAUGGUUUCGGCCAUGGAGUGGCGCACGGGUGAGUAACGCGUGGGAACCUGCCCAGCAGUAUGGGACAACCGCGGGAAACUGCGGCUAAUACCGUAUACGCCCGUCUUUGGGAGACCAGGGGCGGGGAAAGAUUGGUCGCUGUUGGAGGGGCCCGCGUCGGAUUAGGUAGUUGGUGGGGUAAAGGCCUACCAGGCCUGCGAUCCGUAGCUGGUCUGAGAGGAUGAUCAGCCACACUGGGACUGAGACACGGCCCAGACUCCUACGGGAGGCAGCAGUGGGGAAUAUUGGACAAUGGGCGCAAGCCUGAUCCAGCAAUGCCGCGUGAGUGAUGAAGGCCUUAGGGUUGUAAAGCUCUUUCACACGCGACGAUGAUGACGGUAGCGUGAGAAGAAGCCCCGGCUAACUACGUGCCAGCAGCCGCCGUAACAC
rnacentral:rRNA from 1 species